rnacentral:rRNA from 1 species
CCUACGGGAGGCAGCAGUGGGGAAUAUUGGACAAUGGGGGCAACCCUGAUCCAGCCAUGCCGCGUGUGUGAAGAAGGCUUUCGGGUUGUAAAGCACUUUCAGUGAGGAGGAAAACUCUGCGACUAAUACUCGUAGGGCUUGACGUAUCACA